GUGAACGCUGGCGGUAGGCCUAACACAUGCAGGUCGAACGGCAGCACAGUAAGGGCUUGCUCUUACGGGUGGCGAGUGGCGGACGGGUGAGGAAUACAUCGGAAUCUACUUUUUCGUGGGGGAUAACGUAGGGAAACUUACGCUAAUACCGCAUACGACCUACGGGUGAAAGCAGGGGAUCUUCGGACCUUGCGCGAUUGAAUGAGCCGAUGUCGGAUUAGCUAGUUGGCGGGGUAAAGGCCCACCAAGGCGACGAUCCGUAGCUGGUCUGAGAGGAUGAUCAGCCACACUGGAACUGAGACACGGUCCAGACUCCUACGGGAGGCAGCAGUGGGGAAUAUUGGACAAUGGGCGCAAGCCUGAUCCAGCCAUACCGCGUGGGUGAAGAAGGCCUUCGGGUUGUAAAGCCCUUUUGUUGGGAAAGAAAAGCAGCAGGUUAAUACCCCGCUGUUCUGACGGUACCCAAAGAAUAAGCACCGGCUAACUUCGUG
rnacentral:rRNA from 1 species